CGGCAAUGCCAUCUACCCAGGCACAGGCCUCUUCCAACAUACAGCUCUCACUGUCCACACUGCACACAGGCCAUGCCUUCUACACCAGGGACAGGCCUCUCCCAACACACAGCUCUCACUGUCCGCACUGCACACAGGCCACGCCU